GAUGAACGCUAGCUACAGGCUUAACACAUGCAAGUCGGGGGACCGGCGCACGGGUGAGUAACACGUAUCCAACCUGCCCUUUACUCGGGGAUAGCCUUUCGAAAGAAAGAUUAAUACCCGAUGUACAGGAUGGGGAUGCGUUCCAUUAGGUUGUUGGUGCGUCAACGGCUCACAAAGCCUUCGAUUGAUAGGGGUUCUGAGAGGAAGGUCCCCCACAUUGUAACGGAGACACGGUCCAAACUCCUACGGGAGGCAGCAGUGAGGAAUAUUGGUCAAUGGGCGUUAGCCUGAACCAGCCAAGUAGCGUGAAGGAUGAAGGCUUAUGGGUCGUAAACUUCUUUUAUAUAAGAAUAUGUAUUAUAUGAAUAAGGAGCGGCUAACUCCGUGCCAGCAGCCGCGGUAAUAC
rnacentral:rRNA from 1 species